rnacentral:tRNA from 1 species
GCCGAAGUGGUGGAACUGGUAGACACGCUGUCUUGAGGGGGCAGUGGAGCAAUCCGUGCGGGUUCGAGUCCCGCCUUCGGCACCA